rnacentral:rRNA from 1 species
UACGUAGGGGGCAAGCGUUGUCCGGAAUCAUUGGGCGUAAAGAGCGUGUAGGCGGCCCGGUAAGUCCGUUGUGAAAGUCCAGGGCUCAACCCUGGAAUGCCGAUGGAUACUGCCGGGCUAGAGUUCGGAAGAGGCGAGUGGAAUUCCUGGUGUAGCGGUGGAAUGCGCAGAUAUCAGGAGGAACACCUAUAGCGAAGGCAGCUCGCUGGGACGACACUGACUCUGAUACUCGAAAUC